AACACCAAGUCUAUGGCUCCGCUAAUAGUAAACUUUGUUGACGCGUACGCUGGGCUAAAAAAAUAAAGGUCAGUAAAAUCCCCAAAGGGAAUGUAGGUUUGGCCGGAGGCCCAUCAUCAGACCUACCGCCAAAUGCUGAGGCUGUCUUCUUGGUUUCCGUCCCCUUUGGGUGACCCAAAGGGAUAACCGAAGGGUGUCAAACUUCUUCCCCUUCGGGGACAAACCCUUUGGGGCACCCAAAAGGGGGGGGGUUAGAAAACCCGGAGGGGAUGAAAAACUACAACUAGGCUUCAGCCGGAGGCCUACUUGGGUAGCGGCGAACGCAUUCAUCCCCUAAAGGGGAACCGAAGGGGGGCGGGGUUCCCUUUAGUUCCCCUAAAGGGGAAGAAGAGCUACUCGUUUAUAGUUAAACAAUAGAAACGACAAAUCCAUUACAACGGAGUCCCCUUUGGUAUUAGCUACGUUCUUUACACGAAACUAUAUUAAAAUAAAUUAGGCGCUUAUAUAUAAAUGCCGUGAAAGUAGAAUUUUUUAAAGGUAAUUUGUAUUACAAAAAUAGGCAGGAUGGUCCAACGGACCACAAGAUCUUGUAGGAAUUCGUGGCACUUUUUUUGCUUUACGGCUUUGCCCGCGUUCUAGUAACUACAACGUAGUAGAUGAUCUUGACGACUACAAUUAGUAACAUAAC
rnacentral:lncRNA from 1 species